AUUGAACGCUGGCGGCAGGCCUAACACAUGCAAGUCGAGCGAGCGGCGGACGGGUGCGUAAUGUCUGGGAAACUGCCUGAUGGCGGGGGAUAACUACUGGAAACGGUAGCUAAUCCCGCAUACCAUCGGAUGUGCCCAGAUGGGCUUAGCUUGUAGGUGAGGUAACGGCUCACCUAGGCGACGAGCCCUAGCUGGGCUGAGAGGAUGACCAGCCACACGGGAACUGAGACACGGUCCAGACUCCUACGGGAGGCAGCAGGGGGGAAUAUUGCACAAUGGGCGCAAGCCUGAUGCAGCCAUACCGCGUGUGUGAAGAAGGUCUUCGGAUUGUAAAGCACUUUAAGUUGGGAGGCGUUACCAAAAGAGUAAGCACCGGCUAACUUCGCGCCAGCAGCCGCGGUAAUAC
rnacentral:rRNA from 1 species